rnacentral:rRNA from 1 species
ACGAUGAAGUUCGAUCACGGGAGACACAAUGCUGGUGCUAAUGUCCGCAGUGGAAAGGGAAACAGCACAGACAGCCAACUAAGGUCCCAAAGUCAUAGCUAAGUGGGAAACGAAUUGUGAAGGCCCAGACAGCCAGGAGGUUCGCAUAUAAUCAGCCACCCUGUAAAGAAAGAGUAAAAGAACACUAGUCGAGUCGUCCAUCACGUACGAUUAAACUUGGCUAAGCUAUGCACUG